UCCAGACUCCUACGGGAGGCAGCAGUGGGGGAUAUUGCACAAUGGGGGGAACCCUGAUGCAGCGACGCCGCGUGGGUGAAGGAGCGUUUCGGCGCGUAAAGCCCUAUCGGCAGGGAAGAAGGAGGACGGUACCUGACUAAGAAGCCCCGGUUAACUACGUGCCAGCAGCCGCGGUAAUACGUAGGGGGCAAGCGUUAUCCGGAUUUACUGGGUGUAAAGGGGGCGCAGACGGCAGCGCAAGCCAGGAGUGAAAGCCCGGGGCCCAACCCCGGGACUGCUCUUGGAACUGCGCGGCUGGAGUGCAGGAGGGGCAGGCGGAAUUCCUGGUGUAGCGGUGAAAUGCGUAGAUAUCAGGAGGAACACCGGUGGCGAAGGCGGCCUGCUGGACUGCGACUGACGUUGAGGCCCGAAAGCGUGGGGAGCAAACAGGAUUAGAUACCCCUGUAC
rnacentral:rRNA from 1 species